CAUAGGGACGGGAGGGCAAUUGUGAUUAGAAUGAUGGCUGGGAGGAUUAUUCAGAUAGUUUCUACUUCUUGGGCAUCCAUUAUGCUUGUAUGAGUUAGGUGGGUUGUUAGCAUUGUA